UUCUCCUCCUGCAAAACUGGAAGAAACCAGAGCCCAAGGAAAAGGUGGCCUCGUCAUAGCUGGAUGAGGGACUGUCAUUCUCCUGGACCAAUGCACUGUGG